GCUGCUGAAAUCAACUGCAUGAUCCCAGAAGAUAAAUAGCCAGUCCUGAUGUCAAAACCAAGAUUUUGUACCUGAGGAUCCAGCAAAUAGGGAGAAAUGGCCAUGAUCUUCAUUAUAAAGUACCAACACAGUCAACUGCUCCAUUACAGGGAAGCACGUGAAAACUUGCAACUGGCCUAGCUUGAAAGCUGCCUUGGAAAUUUUACGAAGGCUCUUACUUUGGUAGCUAAAAAUGACCUUCAGGAAUGAUUAAUACUGUGUAGGGGUUGAUGACAUAAAUCUGUUAAAAUGUGCUUGAUGUACAGUUUCA